UACGAAGGGGGCAAGCGUUGUUCGGAAUUACUGGGCGUAAAGCGCACGUAGGUGGCGACGUAAGUCGGGUGUGAAAGCCCCGGGCUCAACCUGGGAAUUGCAUUCGAGACUGCAUUGCUGGAGUACGGAAGAGGAAGGCGGAAUUCCCGGUGUAGCGGUGAAAUGCGUAGAUAUCGGGAGGAACAUCAGUGGCGAAGGCGGCCUUCUGGUCCAGUACUGACACUCAAGUGCGAAAGCGUGGGGAGCAAACAGG
rnacentral:rRNA from 1 species